AAUAGCGUAUAUUAAAGUUGUUGCGGUUAAAAAGCUCGUAGUUGGAUCUCAGUUCAUGCUAGGUGGUCCACCUCCGGUGGUUACUGCUUAGCUGAACAUUUUACAGAUUUGUCUCUUGAUUCUCUUAACCGAGUGUCAUGAGCGAUCUGUACGUUUACUUUGAACAAAUUAGAGUGCUCAAAGCAGGCCACUCGCCCGAAUAAUCAUGCAUGGAAUAAUGGAAUAGGACCUUGGUUCUAUUUUGUUGGUCUUCGGAAUCCGAGGUAAUGAUUAAGAGGGACAGACGGGGGCAUUCGUAUUGCGGCGCUAGAGGUGAAAUUCUUGGACCGUCGCAAGACGAACUACAGCGAAAGCAUUUGCCAAGAAUGUUU
rnacentral:rRNA from 1 species